rnacentral:rRNA from 1 species
CGUAGGUGGCAAGCGUUGUCCGGAUUUAUUGGGUUUAAAGGGUGCGUAGGCAGCCCUGUAAGUCAGUGCUGAAAUACCCCGGCUUAACCGGGAGGGUGGCAUUGAUACUGCAGGGCUUGAGUAAAGUUGAGGUUGGCGGAAUUGACGGUGUAGCGGUGAAAUGCUUAGAUAUCGUCAAGAACACCGAUAGUGAAGACAGCUAACUAAGCUUUAACUGACGCUGAGGCACGAAAGUGUGGGGAUCAAACAGGAUUAGAUACCCUGGUAGUCCACACUGUAAACGUUGAUUACUCGAUGUUGGCGAUACACAGUCAGCGUCUUAGCGCAAGCGAUAAGUAAUCCACCUGGGGAGUACGCCGGCAACGGUG